rnacentral:snRNA from 1 species
GUGCUUCGGCAGCACAUAUACUAAAAUUGGAAUAAUACAGAGAAGAUUAUCAUGGCCCUUGUACAAGGAUAACAGCAAAUUCAUGAAGCAUUCCAUAUUUUU